GAUGAACGCUGGCGGCGUGCCUAAUACAUGCAAGUCGAGCGAACAGACGAGGAGCUUGCUCCUCUGACGUUAGCGGCGGACGGGUGAGUAACACGUGGAUAACCUACCUAUAAGACUGGGAUAACUUCGGGAAACCGGCGCUAAUACCGGAUAAUAUAUUGAACCGCAUGGUUCAAUAGUGAAAGACGGUUUUGCUGUCACUUAUAGAUGGAUCCGCGCCGCAUUAGCUAGUUGGUAAGGUAACGGCUUACCAAGGCGACGAUGCGUAGCCGACCUGAGAGGGUGAUCGGCCACACUGGAACUGAGACACGGUCCAGACUCCUACGGGAGGCAGCAGUAGGGAAUCUUCCGCAAUGGGCGAAAGCCUGACGGAGCAACGCCGCGUGAGUGAUGAAGGUCUUCGGAUCGUAAAACUCUGUUAUUAGUGAAGAACAAAUGUGUAAGUAACUAUGCACGUCUUGACGGUACCUAAUCAGAAAGCCACGGCUAACUACGUG
rnacentral:rRNA from 1 species